AAUACUUUUUAUAUGCCCGAAAGGGCAUAUUAUGUUAUACCCCCUGGCGUCCGUCUGUCUGUCUGUCUGUCCGUCCGUCCGUCCGUACGUCCGUCCGUCCGUUAGCAAUUUGGUUUCCGGAGCAUAACUUAAGUUCCAUUUGGCCCACAAUGUUCAAACUUCAUAGGAUGAUUGUCCAUAUUGGGUAGAAGACCCAUAUUGAUUUUGGGGUCAAAAGGUCAAAGGUCAAGGUCACUAUGACCUUAAAACUGAAAACAGUUUUCGGAGCAUAACUUAAGUUCCAUUCGACCCACAAUGUUCAAACUUCAUAGGAUGAUUGUCCAUAUUGGGUAGAAGACCCCUAUUGAUUUUGGGGUCACAAGGUCAAAGGUCAAGGUCACUAACACUUUGAUACUGAAAACAGUUUCCGGAGCAUAACUUAAGUUCCAAUUGGCCCACAAUCUUCAAACUUCAUAGGAUGAUUGUCCAUGUUGGGUAGAAGACCCCUAUUGAUUUUGGGGUCAAAAGGUCAAGGGUCAAGAUCACUAUAUCCUUAAUACUGAAAACAGUUUCCGGAGCAUAGUUCCAUUUGGCCCACAAUAUUCAAACUUCAUACGAUGAUUGUCCAUAUUGGGCAAAAGACCCCUAUUGAUUUUGGGGUCACUAGGUCAAUGGUCAAGGUCACAAUUACCUUUAAACCAAAAACAGUUUCCGGAGCAUAACAUAAGUUCCAUUUGGCUCACUUUAUUCAAACUUCAUAGGAUGAUUGUCCAUAUUGGGUAGAAGACCCCUAUUGAUUUUGGGGUCACAAGGUCAAAGUCACUUUUACCUUAAUACUGAAAACAGUUUCUAGAGCAUAAUUAAAGUUCCAAUUGGCCCACAAAAUUCAAACUUCUUAGGAUGAUUGUCCAUAUAAGGUAGAAAACCCCUAUUGAUUUUGGGGUCACAAGGUCAAAGGUUAAGGUCAUUAUUAAUAACUAUUAA